rnacentral:rRNA from 1 species
UACGGAGGGAGCUAGCGUUGUUCGGAAUUACUGGGCGUAAAGCGCACGUAGGCGGCGAUUCAAGUCAGAGGUGAAAGCCCGGGGCUCAACCCCCGGAACUGCCUUUGAAAACUAGAUUGCUAGAAUCCUGGAGAGGUUAGUGGAAUUCCGAGUGUAGAGGUGAAAUUCGUAGAUAUUAGGAAGAACACCAGUGGCGAAGGCGGCUCACUGGAUCGGUACUGACGCUGAGGUGCGAAAGCGUGGGGAGCAAACAGG